UAACUACUCUGGAGGCCACAUAUUCAAUCUUAUCUUAAUGAAAUUUAGUCAGAAUGUUUAUCUUGACAAUAUCUGUGCAGAGUUUGAAUCUAGGUCAUUGUCCAAAAGCUAGGUCAACAAGUCAAACCUUAGAAAUGGCACAUUUACGAUUCAAUAUUGACGCAACUUGGUCAAAAUGUUUAUAUUGACAAUAUCUUGUCAAAGUUAGAUUCUGGAUCAUGUAUGUCCAAAACCUAGGUCACCAGGUCAAGUCUUUUACAAACCUUGUUAUGACUCAAAAAGCCACAUUUAUGACUGAAUCUUUAUGAAACAGGGUGAGAAUGUUUAUCAAGGAUGAAUUUGAAUAUGGGUCAUGGUGCGUCCAAAUACUUGAUGACGUUGGUCACCAGGUCAGAUGUUAGAAAAUUCUUGUUUGAAGCCUCAGUUAUGUCUAAGUCUGGAUGAAACUAGUUCAUAUUGUCUAUCAUGGCAAUAUAUUGUACAGGAUCUAGUGUGGGUUAUGUGAGUCCAAAAUAAAAAAGGUCAUCAUUUGCAAUCUUAGAAAAAUCUUGUUACCAGUCUAGACGCCACAUACAAAAUCAUGAUGAAAAAUGGUGAGAAUAUUUAUGGUAUGUAAAUCUGGGUCAAGUGGGGUCAAACACUCGGUCACCAGGUCAAAUCUUCGACAAUGUGUGUACCUUGGACUCAUGAGUAUGCUGCAGAGCCAUCAUAGCCCAUUCGAAGGUGUGAAGGUGUGAUUUUGAGUCCCACUUGAGGCGUGUAUAAAAACAGUUUUUGAGGAGGGGGCAUUAAAAUUAAAUUCCUUGAUGAUUUUAAGUUUAUUUAGAUUGUCACUAAAUAAAUAUCUGCUUACACAGAGGAAAUACUCAUUUAUGUAUAGGUACAUAACUUUAUUAAGUGGGAUAUACAUUUUAUAUGAUCUAUAUUUAGUAAAUAAGGUCAACACAAGUUUUAGUUUUUUAUUUACUGUUAUUUAUGCCCAAGACUUACUUAGUAAACUUAUAGUAAGAAAAUACUUUCCAUUUCAGUCAGUGUUCAAAGGUUACCUUGAUCGCUGAUACCACUCUGUCUGCAACAGACCAUCAGCAGUUGUCGGCCAAGAUUAACACCAUUCUGGAUCAACUUAUGAAGCUGCAAACAAACUGGGAGAGCAACAUGAAGUCACUGCAAGUGUCAUAUGAAGAGAGGCUUAAAGAGAUGAGAGGUAUGAGAGAGCAAAUAAAUGCCGCCCUUGAUGAGCUGGAGAAGGCCACGCUGAAGGAAAUGGAUGAAGGGAAGGCCAGCUGGAAUACAUCUCUCAAGUUUGAUAUUGACUCAUGCUCCAGGCUUCAUACUGAGCUGACACAUUUUAGUGAUGCAAUAAAGGAAAUUGGCAAGAAAAACGAAGAGUUGGCCUUUAUAGCCCAUCAGAAAAGUAAAGUGAUGUUAAAACAUGUAGAAAAAUACCUGAACAACAAUUCACUACAAACAGAAGUGUCCUUUAAGUUGAUUGUUUACAAUGAUAUUAUAGCAUAUUUAUCAAAUCUGUCAGGUCUUAGUCAUACUACACACAUUACAAAGGAUUUGACUAAGAAACGCCCAGACCGUGCUAUUUUAGUCACAGGGGCAAAUCUAUUUAGUGUGAAAAUUGAAUUCGUCUUUCGUAGUAUCAAUGGAAUUUGUGGUCUGUUCAAUGGACAUAUACUGUUUGCCCACGGCGAAACAUUAAAGCUGUUGGAUCUGCAGCACAAGGUGAUCAGUAAAUGUUUUAUAUCUUACUAUCUAUCAGACAUGUGUCUAAUAACCCCUUGCAAGGUAGCAGUCACUGAAGACAAAGGUAUGAGUUUGUCUUGGUUAACAGUGGAAAGCUGGUGAGGGACAGUCUGCUGCAAUUACCACAUGACUGUAGAGGAGUAGCCCAUUACCAGGGGGACCUCUAUGUGACCUCCGGUACUGCUCUGUACAAGUACAAUCUCACCGGCACACUCGUGAACAAGAUGUAUGAGGAUAGAUCUGCAAGAGAUACAGUCUUGAGAUGUGCAGUGAGUCCCAGUGGUGCCAAGAUCUAUGUUACCAACCAUAGCGAACACAAGCUCCUCACCCUGGCCAAGGAUGGGACUGUGAUCUCAACCUUCACUGACACAGAACUACAACUCCCAUUGGGAGUUCAUAUGACGCCUGCAGGACAAGUACUUGUUUGUGGAUACGGGUCCAACACUGUCAUACAGGUGGACAGAGAGGGCAAGAAGAAGAUUGCUUUGUUGGCUGUAAAUAAGGAUGGUGUUGAUGGCCCACUAUCAGUCUUCUAUAACUGGAAAUAUGGCUAUGUCCUUGUUGGACAAAAAAAUGACAAAAUCCUGAUGUUAGAUUUAAAAAUGAACAACAUUUUCUGAUACAAUAUCAUUAUUGAUAAUAUUUUGAAUGCAUGUUUAGCCUGUUGCAAUGUAUACGGUUCUUUUAAUGGCACAUGUCAAAUGUUUUCCUUUCACUUUACUUCUUAAUUUGGAUUGUGUAUUAAAAGCUUUAAUUAAAAUAACACGCUGAAUGGAUUUGGCUUUGACUGUCUAAAAUAUUGUCAGUUCAGUUAAUUAAGUACUAAAAUAAACAAUUUACAAAUUGUGUUAAGUUUUAUCGUAACAUUUUUCUUAUAACUUUAAUUACGUUAUUACCCACGUCAUUAUAUAAAUUUGAAUGAAGCACUUUAUACUGUAAACCUUUUUGUUGAAACAAGUAACUAUUUAUGAUGUAAAAUUGUUUUGUGUUAUUAUACAUGUAUUGCCUUAAAGAUUAUUAUAACUUUUAUUAUUAUAUUUCAUACACUGUUAUUAUUAAAAGCAUGUAGUUUAUUAUUAUACUAUGGUGUUUUUAUGUUCCCGGUAGGGUGGCAUAUAGCAGUUGAACUGUCCGUCAGUAUGUCAGUCUGUCCGUCCGUCCGUCUGAAGAAAAAACUUUAACGUUGGCCAUAACUUUUACAAUAUUGAAGAUAGCAACUUGAUAUUUGGCAUGCACGUGUAUCUUAUGAAGCUGCACAUUUUGAGUGGUGGAAGUUCAAGGUCAAGGUCAUCCUUCAAGGUCAAAGGUCGAAAAAUAUAUUCAAAGCGGCGUUGUCAUGAACUGUAAAUUUUGAGUGGUGGAAGUUCAAGGUCAAGGUCAUCCUUCAAGGUCAAAGGAAAAAAAAUUAAUUAAUUCAAAGCAGCGUUCUCAUGAAGCUGCACAUUUUGAGUGGUGGAAGUUCAAGGUCAAGGUCAUCCUUCAAGGUCAAAGGUCAAAAAAAUAAUAUUUCAAAGCGGCGCAAUAGGGGGCAUUGUGUUUCUGACGAACACAUCUCUUGUUUUUUAUAAGAAGAAGGUCAUUAAACAGAUAUUUCAUUGACAUUUGGGAACAGUUUGUCAAAUUAUUUUCCUCCGCAUUGACCACAGGAAGCAUAACAAAAUAUUGCAUUCUUCACGUCAGGAAAACUAUUUUAAAGUUCCCAAAUGUCAAUGAAAUACCUGUGUAAUGUUAAACACUAUUAUAUUUAUUUCAUGGUCAAUACCAAAACUUUUUCUGCUAUCUUGAUAACACUAUUGCCCAAUUUCUUCUACCAUAACUUAUGAAUUAAUUGUAUAAUGCAUGUAUAAUGUAGACUAUGAGCCUACAUUUAUUCGAUAUUUGCUCACCUUAGGAUUACGUGCUCCGGCUACUUUUUGACACAGUUCCUUAUAAUCAUGGCCCUUUGCACCAAACGUGCCACACUCUUUGGGUUACAUGGCUAAUAAAGCCUUUAUUAACAAAAGUACUUAACAAAAAGUCUCUCAAAUCACAUUAAAAACAUUACAUAGCGUAGAGAUCUUGUGCUAAAUUGACCCUCUUGUUUUGUAAUAAGAUUACAGGGUAAUGUUUUAUAGUAUUUUUGUGAUAAGGGGAUUGAUUUUUUGAGCUGUGUAAUUAUAUGGGUGUGAUAUGUACAAAUGAGAUGUAAUUCAUAGUUGAUUGUUAAUGUACUGCUAUUGUAUUAUAGAGAUAUUAUUACCCCUGCUCUGCAGAAGUUGGUUUUUAGUCCAAUAAUUGUUAAUAGUUACAUAUUUUGUAAUGAUUAUAGUUCACUGGAUUGAAUAGUUUGCAUCGUUAUUUAAACUUAAAUUGAUAUAAUAAACAUACAUUAAGUUGAAAA